UAAAAAUACAACAUUUCAAAUAGAGUCCUUGUUUAUAUAAUGUCAUUAUGUCUUUCAGCAUUUAAACAGUAUAUCUAACCAUUUAGUUGAAAAAAAAAAUCUCCAUGAAACUGCAACAGAACACUGGGAGUAAUUAAUACUAGUUUAUAACAGAAUACUACAUAGUACUCUUUGUAAAUGUUCUUUUUAAAUCUUCUAAGUAUCUGUUCUUGAUACUUACAAGGCUAAACAGUAUGGUGUUUUUUUCCAACUCUUGAUGAAUUUAUUUUAAGAGAAGACAUUUCUGAAAAUUAAAGGAAGCAGCUUUCUCACCCUUAUAGUAAAAUGAUGCUUAGAAUAUUCUUCUGUGGAGAAAAAGCAGUUGUUUUUUGGCUAAAUAACGUAAUGUAGAAGAUAAGGCAAUCAUUUAAAUUUCUUGUGCAUGGCAUCAGUGAUCUCUCCAGCUCAAGUGUGUGCAAGUGAAGACUAUCAAACUUGAAAGGAUGAUGCAUGCUGCAACUUGUAUUACUCAAUCUUCAACUAAAAGCUGGUAUUGAUUUGUUUUUUCUCAUCCUCAUACAGAUGAAUAUACAUUUCCUUUUUUGUGUCGUUGAAGAAAGUAUUGAAAAAACAUUUGAAAAUAAGCUGGUAGUUUUGUUCAUUUCUCACUUCUGAAAUGUAUAUUUUGGGGGAUUCUGACAACUGAGGUAUACCCACAGCCCAGAGCACAAAACUGGAAUUUGAGACCAACCACUAUUUAGGAAGUCUACAGAGGUUAAACUUAAACUUUAAAUUUGGUGGAUGAGCUAUUAGAUGGAUAAGGAAUUGGCUGGGUGGCCUCAUCCAAAGUGUUAGUCCAUGGCUCAAUGUCCAAACUGAAACCAGUGGUGUCCCUCAAUGGUCCAUACUAAGACCAGCGGUAUUUAAUAUCUUAAUUAAUGACACAGGUGUCCUCAGCAAAUUUGCGGGUGACACCAAACUGAGUGGUGCAGUUGACCAUUUACUGGGGAAGGGAUGCCAUCCAGAGGUACCUGGACAGGCUUGAGAUGUGGGCCCAUGUGAACCUCAUGAGGUUCAACAUGGCCAAAUGCAUGGUGCUACACCUGUGUCAAGGCAAUCAAUAUAGGCUGGGUGAUGAAGUGAUUGAGUGCAGCCCUGCAGAGGGGGACCUUGGGAUUCUGGCAGAUGAAGAAUUGGACAUGAGCUGGCAAUGUACACUUGUGUCCCAGAAAUCCAGCUGUAUCCUGAGGGGUGGCAUCAAAAGGUCUGUGGCCAACUCUAGGGCCCCCGCACGAGAAGGACAUGGACCUGUUAGGGCAGGUCCAGAGGAAGCCACAGAAAUGUUCAGAGGGCUGAAGCAGCUCUCCUGUGCACAGAGGCUUAGAGAGUUGGGGUUGUGCAGCCUGGAGAAGAGAAUGCUCUGGCAAGACAAUAUAACCAUCAUCCGGUGUAUAAAAGCAGCUUAUAAGAAGGAGAAAGGCUUUUAACCAGAGCCUGUACAUUUAUUACAUAAAUACAUUUAUUAUUUAUACCAAAGAGUUAUGUGCAACAAAUAGAAUUCGUACAUAUUUACAUUGUUUCACCUGCUAGCAAAAUCGUAUCCUAAACCUCCAAUAGAGAAUCUCUCAGCCUAUAUUGAUAAAAGGAACAUCUGCCCAGUGAUUCCAUUUAAAUGGGUGUUUAAUUUGGAGUGUAAAGCACUAGUGAUAAAUAGUUAAUGGAACAUACUAUACAGAACAAACAUCUAAUACUUAGGCCAUGCUUAAUACAGUUGUAUGGUAACAGAACACUAUCUUUUCUGGACCAGUUUUCUCUAGAAAAGGGCCAGAGGAAGUGGUUUUAAACUGAAAGAAGGUAGAUUUAGAUCAGAUAUUAGGUAGAAAUUUCUUACUCUGAGGGCAGCGAGGCACUGGCACAGGUUGCCCAGAGAAGCUGUGGAGGCUCCAUCCCUGGAGGUGUUCAAGACCAGGUUGGAUGGGGCUUUGAGCAACCUGGUCUAGUGGGUGGCAUCCCUGCCCAUGGCAGGUGGGUUGGAGCUGGAUGGUCUUUGAGGUCACUUCCAAACCUAGUGCUGUUAGGAGCCCUUAAAAUAGAUAAGCUGAAACUUCUGUGGGCCUGUAUAGAGUAGAGUGACAUUAAAACAGUGUAUGUGGAAAGCAUGACUGAAGCUAAAUAUUUGUUCCAAAUCUUGCUGCAUAGGAAAUGCACAUACUUUUGUGUGCUCAGCCUCCCCUUUUGUUUUCAUAUAUUUCAUGCACAUAUGAAAUAGUCUGGGGACUGCUUCAUGGACUGUGCUGAAAAA